GGGGAAAAAAAGACAGAUUUUUGGGAGGAGAUUUUACUAUAAAAACCCUUUGUCUGGGGAAAAAAAGACAGAUUUUUGGGAGGAGAUUUUACUAAAAAAUCUCCUCCCAAAAAUCUGUCUUUUUUUCCCCAGACAAAGGGUUUUUAUAGAUGUAAACAAUGUAUUGUAUGCAAAACCACU